UACAUCAUUUUAGUACGCGAUUUUUACGCGUGUGGCGCUGUCGUCGGAAAUUAUUUUGGUCACGUGACAGCUUCAACCGCCAAAAUGAAUGUCAUUUGUCUGCCAACCAUAAUUUUGUUGUAUUUUUGUGCUCGAAUAAAAGGUUUUGAAUCGUUUCAUUUAAUCGAAUUUUUCGUUAAAAAACAUUGUUUUAUUGUUAAUAACGUUUUUCGAGUGCAAUCAAACAUAAAAUAGCUGUAAAACAGUAUUUAUUAGAGUGAAACAAAAUGGCUAAGGUGCACAUAACCAACGUAGUCGUUUUAGACAAUCCUAGUCCAUUUUUAAACCCUUUCCAAUUCGAAUUGACCUUCGAAUGUAUUGAAGAGCUCAAAGAGGAUUUGGAAUGGAAGAUGAUUUACGUCGGAUCGGCGGAAACCGAGGAGCACGACCAGGUUUUGGACACAAUUUACGUUGGGCCUAUUCCGGAAGGUCGACACAUGUUUGUAUUCCAAGCACCACCACCAGACGUAACCCGGAUUCCAGAGAAUGAUGCUUUAGGGGUCACAGUAGUGUUAUUAACGUGUUCGUACAGAGGACAAGAGUUUGUAAGAGUGGGGUACUUCAUAAAUAAUGAAUAUAGUGAAAAUGAACCGGAGUUAAGAGAGAACCCGCCAGCGAAACCUCAGUUUGACAAAGUAGUGAGGAAUAUUCUAGCUUCCGAACCCAGAGUGACUAGGUUUAAGAUAAAUUGGGCGGAACCAGACGCUGCCACUGCUGCUGAUUCAGGGGAUGGUAAUAUAGAGACUCAUGCACCAAGCAACGACUCCUACGGUGCCUUCAACAAUGACAGUCAAAUCAGUGGCAUCUUCCAAGGCAGCUUGAGUGGCUAUGGGGAUAAUUCCAACUCGGUUGUGCAUAUGGAGUGCUGAGAUAGACUAAAUGAAUUAAUGAAUUAAGAUCUGCAGUACUAGGAAAUAAUACAAAUGAUGGACUGACAGAAUGAUUAUGAAGAUAUAGAUUUUGUAUGGAUGUUAUUGUACAAUCUCAAUUUGGGUAAGCAGUGCUUUUGUGCCUCUAUGAUCUGCACACUACUGUCUUUCAGCUAAACCACAAUUUGGUAAAA